rnacentral:rRNA from 1 species
GAUGAACGCUGGCGGCGUGCUUAACACAUGCAAGUCGAACGAUGACGCCCAGCUUGCUGGGUGGUUUAGUGGCGAACGGGUGAGUAACACGGGAGUAAACUGCCCUUGACUCUGGGAUAAGCCUGGGAAACUGGGUCUAAUACUGGAUAUGACUUCUCAUCGCAUGGUGGGGGGUGGAAAGAUUUAUUGGUCUUGGAUGGACUCGCGGCGUAUCAGCUUGUUGGUGAGGUAAUGGCACACCAAGGCGACGACGGGUAGCCGGCCUGAGGGGGUGACCGGCGACACUGGGACUGAGACACGGCCCAGACUCCUACGGGAGGCAGCGGUGGGGAAUAUUACACAAUGAGCGCGAGCCUGAUGCGGCGACGCCGCGUGAGGGAUGACGGCCUUCGGGUUGUGAACCUCUUUCAGAAGAGAAGAAGCGAGAGUGACGGUACCUGCAGAAGAAGCGCCGGCUAACUACGUG